rnacentral:rRNA from 1 species
GUUUCCCGUAAGGCGCCGAAUGAGUCAUUAAAAAAUUAACAUCAUCCGAUCCCUAGUCGGCAUAGUUUAUGGUUAAGACUACGACGGUAUCUGAUCGUCUUCGAUCCCCUAACUUUCGUUCUUGAUUAAUGAAAACAUCCUUGGCAAAUGCUUUCGCAGUAGUUAGUCUUCAAUAAAUCCAAGAAUUUCACCUCUGACAAUUGAAUACUAAUGCCCCCAACUAUCCCUAUUAAUCAUUACGUCGAUCCUAGAAACCAACAAAAUAGAGUCAAACGUCCUAUUUCAUUAUUCCAUGCUAAUGUAUUCAAGCGUAUGCCUGCUUUAAACACUCUAAUUUUUUCAAAGUAACAGUCCUGAUUCCCCAAGACACCAAAUUAAUGACAUCAAGGCUCUUCAGAAGGGAGAAACCAAUAAUACCAGUACGUACCGAGGCACGACCAACAAAUUGGUCCCGAAAUUCAACUACGAGCUUUUUAACUGCAACAACUUUAAUAUACGCUAUUGGAGCUGGAAUUACCGCGGCUGCUGGCACCAGACUUGCCCUCCAA